GGGGGUAUAGCUCAGUGGUAGAGCACUUACCUAACACGUAGGAGGCCCUGAGAUCCAUCCCUA
rnacentral:tRNA from 1 species